rnacentral:rRNA from 1 species
GAUGAACGCUGGCGGCGUGCCUAAUACAUGCAAGUCGAGCGAACAGACGAGGAGCUUGCUCCUCUGACGUUAGCGGCGGACGUGUGAGUAACACGUGGAUAACCUACCUAUCAUACUGGGAUAACUUCGGGAAACCGGAGCUAAUACCGGAUAAUAUAUUGAACCGCAUGGUUCAAUAGUGAAAGACGGUUUUGCUGUCACUUAUAGAUGGAUCCGCGCGGCAUUAGCUAGUUGGUACGGUAACGGCUUACCAAGGCGACGAUGCGUAACCGACCUGUGGGGGUGAUCGGCCACACUGGAACGGAGGCACGGUCCAGACUCCUACGGGAGGCAGCAGUAGGGAAUCUUCCGCAAUGGGCGAAAGCCUGACGGAGCAACGCCGCGUGAGUGAUGAAGGUCUUCGGAUCGUAAAACUCUGUUAUUAGGGAAGAACAAAUGUGGAAGGAACUAUGCACGGCUUGACGGUACCUAAUCAGAAAGCCACGGCUAACUACGUG